CUUUGGCAUUCCUUCAAGCGUACAAGAGAGAAGGGCAAUUUGUCUUCACCAUGCACAUCCACAGCCCUUCACAGGCAGAGAUUGGAUGUGUUUGAAAAUGCUUCAGGAAAUAAUGGCAGCAGUAAGGAGCUGUUUUUCAUUUAAUGUUAUUUCUCAAGGAACUUCUGCAAAAUAUGAUAACUCCUUUCUCUCGAGGCUGCAAACCAUGUGUCAUCAAAAGAUUGUGAUGCCUAAAUUAGCUUCACGGUACGCUGGGAUCGCUGAAUUUCCUCUUAGACUCUGAUAGAAGAUUGCCUGUCAAUCAUAGGUUUUGGUGUCAUGCAUUUUUCCUCUCACUGUCAGCUUGUGGGACAGUGGGAGACAUUGCUUCUGAGAAUGUGGCUGAAGGUACUUUAAAGCUGGUCUUAGCCACAGUAUUUAGAUAACUGCAUCUGUAAGGCCAUUUAAAAUAGUUUUUCUGCUUAGAAAUGAAAAGAAGUCACCAUUACUGGUUUGACCAGAUGCCUGUUUAAAUGACUAAUGCCACCUCAGGUUAAUUACUGAUCUCUCUAUUUAGAGUUAAUACAUACUUUUUAAAGCAACACUUUCUCUUCCACACUAAAAAAUUGCUGCCUGGCUUCAAUAUAAAUUAAAAAGUGUCUUGGGUGACUUGUCUAUACCCAUACUUCUUUAUCAAAGCUUCACUGAUAUCCAUGCUUAUUGUACCAGAAUUUCCUAUUAGCAGGUAAAUAUGGCCUCAUGUCAUCAACUCAUAUUUUCAAUGUGUAAGAAUUUAUCUUCCCUUCAACGAAAUUCCUCAAAGGCUAGAAUUGUAAAAUAUGUAAUAUAUAACACACAUAUAUGUAUUAUACAUAUAUAAAUGUCUAUGACAUAUAAAAC
rnacentral:lncRNA from 1 species